rnacentral:rRNA from 2 species
UUAAGUGAAUAAGGGCGCACGGUGGAUGCCUUGGCACUAGGAGCCGAUGAAGGACGGGACUAACACCGAUAUGCUUUGGGGAGCUGUACGUAAGCUAUGAUCCAGAGAUUUCCGAAUGGGGGAACCCAACAUCUUUAAUAGGAUGUUACGAUUGUGUGAAUACAUAGCACAUUCGAGGUAGACGCAGAGAACUGAAACAUCUAAGUACCUGCAGGAAGAGAAAGAAAAUUCGAUUCCCUGAGUAGCGGCGAGCGAAACGGGAAAAGCCCAAACCAGCAAGCUUGCUUGUUGGGGUUGUAGGACUCCAAUAUGGUAGUUCUUUCAGAUAGUCGAAUGACUUGGAAAAGUCAGUCAAAGAGGGUAAAAACCCCGUAGACGAAAUGUGGAAGACACCUAGGAGGAUCCUGAGUACGGCGGAACACGAGAAAUUCCGUCGGAAUCCGGGAGGACCAUCUCCCAAGGCUAAAUACUCCCUAGUGACCGAUAGUGAACCAGUACCGUGAGGGAAAGGUGAAAAGCACCCCGGAAGGGGAGUGAAAUAGAACCUGAAACCGUGUGCCUACAACAAGUCAAAGCCCGUUAAUGGGUGAUGGCGUGCCUUUUGUAGAAUGAACCGGCGAGUUACGAUUGCAUGCGAGGUUAAGUUGAAGAGACGGAGCCGCAGCGAAAGCGAGUCUGAAUAGGGCGUUUGAGUAUGUAGUCGUAGACCCGAAACCAUGUGAUCUACCCAUGUCCAGGUUGAAGGUGCGGUAAAACGCACUGGAGGACCGAACCCACGUACGUUGAAAAGUGCGGGGAUGAGGUGUGGGUAGCGGAGAAAUUCCAAACGAACUUGGAGAUAGCUGGUUCUCUCCGAAAUAGCUUUAGGGCUAGCCUCGGAAUUGAGAAUGAUGGAGGUAGAGCACUGUUUGGACUAGGGGCCCAUCUCGGGUUACCGAAUUCAGAUAAACUCCGAAUGCCAUUCAUUCAUAUCCGGGAGUCAGACUGUGAGUGAUAAGAUCCAUAGUCGAAAGGGAAACAGCCCAGACCACCAGCUAAGGUCCCAAAAUAUAUGUUAAGUGGAAAAGGAUGUGGGGUUGCACAGACAACUAGGAUGUUGGCUUAGAAGCAGCCACCAUUUAAAGAGUGCGUAAUAGCUCACUAGUCGAGUGACCCUGCGCCGAAAAUGUACCGGGGCUAAACAUAUUACCGAAGCUGUGGAGUACACCUUUAGGUGUAUUGGUAGGAGAGCGUUCUAAGGGCGUUGAAGGCAGAUCGUGAGGACUGCUGGAGCGCUUAGAAGUGAGAAUGCCGGUAUGAGUAGCGAAAGACAGGUGAGAAUCCUGUCCACCGAAUGACUAAGGUUUCCUGGGGAAGGCUCGUCCGCCCAGGGUUAGUCGGGACCUAAGCCGAGGCCGACAGGCGUAGGCGAUGGAUAACAGGUUGAUAUUCCUGUACCCGUUGUUUUUGUUUGAGCAAUGGAGGGACGCAGGAGGCUAAGGAAUGCAGACGAUCGGAAAUGUCUGUCCAAGCAGUAAGUCUGAAGAGGAGUCAAAUGCUUCUUUUCUUAAGGACAAGCUGUGAUGGGGAGGGAAAUAAUAGUACCGAAGUUCCUGAUGUCACACUGCCGAGAAAAGCUUCUAGUGAGAAAACAGCGGCCCGUACCGCAAACCGACACAGGUAGUCGAGGAGAGAAUCCUAAGGUGAGCGAGAGAACUCUCGUUAAGGAACUCGGCAAAAUGACCCCGUAACUUCGGGAGAAGGGGUGCUGAUCAUACGAUCAGCCGCAGUGAAUAGGCCCAAGCGACUGUUUAUCAAAAACACAGGUCUCUGCAAAAUCGUAAGAUGAAGUAUAGGGGCUGACGCCUGCCCGGUGCUGGAAGGUUAAGAGGAGUGCUUAGCGCAAGCGAAGGUACGAAUUGAAGCCCCAGUAAACGGCGGCCGUAACUAUAACGGUCCUAAGGUAGCGAAAUUCCUUGUCGGGUAAGUUCCG